CACAACUCAUAUGUGGGGCACAAUGCGCUUAGGGUCAAGGGGGACUUACUUCCAGGUCGCUGAUUGCAGGUACGUCAAUGCAAAGUUUGUUGAUGAGCGACACCGGCACAGUUACGAGGUAAAUCCAGCCAGAUAUGAUAUCAGAAAUUGAGAAGGCUGGCCUCUCUUUUGUUGGGAAAGAUGAGAUUCGGUGUCGUAUGGAGAUUGUAGAACUACCAAGCCAUCCAUACUUUGUGGGUGCUCAGUUUCAUCCUGAGUGGAAACCUUCUACAUUGUUUCUAGGUCUUAUCGCAGCAGCGUCUGAAAGUCUCAAGGUGAACAAAGUUUCGAUAAAUGGAGUAGCCAAUGGAACUGCAACGGGGAAAGUUCAUCAGAACGACAUGUGUACAGCAAUGGAAACGGGCUUCACCAAUCACCACUGACUCAAGAAAGGAACAAUUUUACUGCUUUUUUAAAGUUUUUUUUUUUCUUUUUUCUUUGCUUUUAAUCAAAGCUUUCGUCAAGGCCAGUCUACAUGUAUAGUCCCUGAAUUUUGUUUCCUUGUCAGAAAGACUUGUUGAGUUUCGUUGUUAGGGUAUGGGGAGAGACAUGUAUAAAUAUGAAUGUGCUUCCUGUUCUAUAAGGUUGCUUUUUUGCCUUUCAUAGCUAAAAAAAUCUAUAAUCUAGUUUCUUCAGGACUACACAAUGUUUCCCCCCUUCAGUUGGAAUUUUGUUGCCAUUCUCAUUACUUGUGUUUUGUCCGAUCCCAUUUCUCAGUAUUCAUUGUAUCAUUGAUGUCCCAAAGUGAACAAGUUAUGAAAAAAAGUUGAUAUAAAAAUUGCGUCAUUAUGUAUGAAAACAAAACAUA